ACCGGUUCUCAGGCCCUGGGAGGCGGAGUCUCGCGGGAAGGCAGGGGACACACCCACGCGGGAGGAGGGGUCCAUGUCAGCUCCCACCUUUUUGGGUGGUCAGACAUCACCGCGGCUGGUGUCGGCUUUCAGUGCCCUGUACAUGAGGGGAGAAUGGCUGAGUGCCCUGUACCUGAGAGGGGGUAGAAGAAUGUGAGCUGUCACAUGAGAGGAAUACACUGGAUGCUUCAUCUGUACCGAUUUCUCAAGGUGCUAGGUCUUCUUUCCCUACUGCACAGUCCAGUAACCUGCAUGCCUUCUCCCAGUAGGAUAUAGGAGGACUUUGGAGACAUUCCAGACUCAAGGAAUCACAGAGAAGGGUAUGAGCCUGAUGACAAGGAUUAAAUGAAGUCUACCUAUCAAAAUAUUCCCCACCCAGCUCCCAAAUGUCUGUAUCCAACUAUCUGAGAAAAUACCUUUAGAAACUAACAUUGGAGGGGUCCUCAAUUAAAAACAAAAUGUGUGUUGGGGCACCU